GCCCUCGGUGGCUCAGAUGGACAGAGCGUUUGCUUUGUAAGCAGGAGAUCCCGGGUUCGAGUCCCAGGCAGGGCA